rnacentral:rRNA from 1 species
AUUGAACGCUGGCGGCAGGCCUAACACAUGCAAGUCGAGCGGAUGAAGGGAGCUUGCUCCUGGAUUCAGCGGCGGACGGGUGAGUAAUGCCUAGGAAUCUGCCUGGUAGUGGGGGAUAACGUCCGGAAACGGGCGCUAAUACCGCAUACGUCCUGAGGGAGAAAGUGGGGGAUCUUCGGACCUCACGCUAUCAGAUGAGCCUAGGCCGGAUUAGCUAGUUGGUGGGGUAAAGGCCUACCAAGGCGACGAUCCGUAACUGGUCUGAGAGGAUGAUCAGUCACACUGGAACUGAGACACGGUCCAGACUCCUACGGGAGGCUGCAGUGGGGAAUAUUGGACAAUGGGCGAAAGCCUGAUCCAGCCAUGCCGCGUGUGUGAAGAAGGUCUUCGGAUUGUAAAGCACUUUAAGUUGGGAGGAAGGGCAGUAAGUUAAUACCUUGCUGUUUUGACGUUACCAACAGAAUAAGCACCGGCUAACUUCGUG